GACGGAAGGUGCAAGCGUUGCUCGGAAUCACUGGGCGUAAAGGGUGCGUAGGCGGCUUGGUAAGUUGGGUGUGAAAGCCCCGGGCUCAGCCCGGGAAGGGCACUCGAAACUGCCGAGCUGGAGUGCCGGAGGGGAGAGUGGAAUUCCUGGUGUAGCGGUGAAAUGCGCAGAUAGUCGGGAGGAACACCAGUGGCGAAGGCGGCGCUCUGGGCCGGAACUGACGCUGAGGAGCGAAAGCGUGGGUAGCAAACAGG
rnacentral:rRNA from 1 species